ensembl:lncRNA LINC02699 long intergenic non-protein coding RNA 2699
AUCAUCAUGAUGCACUGUUAUGGCGCCCUCUAUAGGCAACCCAGCUCUUCUAAUUUAAAAGUUGCUGCAUUUGUGAUGAUUUUCAUCUUGACUGGGGAUGCUCCCCAUUCUGAACACCAGCAUCAUGCAUCCUUUGCUCUGUUCUAGGCACAACAAUCAAAAGUGCUUAUUCCCAAACUGGACCUGACUUCAGCCAGAAUAUGUCACCGUGAGAUUCCCUAUGCAGAGGCCCAUGUGGCAACAAACUGAUGUGUCCUUCCAACAACCAGGCCUGAGACCUCACAAGACCCAACUGGAUCUCCCAGACAGAGCAGGCAGAACACCAUUUCUGCUGCCCCACAGCCCUCAAAGUUGUUACUCCCCGACUCUGGAAGGUUCUCAGUGACUAGAGACUGGUGCGGACCCCCAGCACAGUGUAGCCACCCCCAUGAAAACGUGGGAACCCUCAAGAGACAACUGAAAAAAUCUCUCUCACAACCAUCAUCAAGAUCCCAUUCCCUGCUGCCUCCAAGCUGGGGAGAGAACAUAAAGCUUGAGCUCGCCUCAGACCAGUGGUAUACAGCUCAGG